rnacentral:ncRNA from 2 species
GUACGUCUUCAGGGCGGGGCGAAAUUCCCCACCGGCGGUAUGCAGGCGGCGCACAUCGUGCGAGAGUCUGCGAGCCCGCGAGCGCCUGCAUUGUUGUUUUUGUCGCAGGGUCAGCAGAUCUGGUGAGAGGCCAGAGCCGACGGUUAGAGUCCGGAUGGAAGAAGAUGUGC